AAUCAACGCUGGCGGCGUGCCUCAGACAUGCAAGUCGAACGAUUAAAGCUCUCUUCGGAGAGUGCAUAGAGUGGCGCACGGGUGAGUAACACGUAAGUAAUCUACCUUCGAGUGGGGAAUAACGUCCGGAAACGGACGCUAAUACCGCAUAAUGCAGCGGCAUCAUAAGAUGACAGUUGUUAAAGAUUUAUCGCUUGAAGAGGAGCUUGCGGCAGAUUAGCUAGUUGGUAAGGUAAUGGCUUACCAAGGCUACGAUCUGUAACCGGUCUAAGAGGACGGUCGGUCACACUGACACUGAAUAACGGGUCAGACUCCUACGGGAGGCAGCAGUCGGGAAUUUUGGGCAAUGGGCGAAAGCCUGACCCAGCAACGCCGCGUGAAGGAUGAAGUAUUUCGGUAUGUAAACUUCGAAAGAAUGGGAAGAAUAAAUGACGGUACCAUUUAUAAGGUCCGG
rnacentral:rRNA from 1 species